rnacentral:rRNA from 1 species
UGCAGUCGAACGGCAGCAUGGGCUUCGGCCUGAUGGCGAGUGGCGAACGGGUGAGUAAUGCAUCGGAACGUGCCCAGUCGUGGGGGACAACGUAGCGAAAGUUACGCUAAUACCGCAUACGACCUGAGGGUGAAAGUGGGGGACCGCAAGGCCUCACGCGAUUGGAGCGGCCGAUGUCUGAUUAGCUAGUUGGUGGGGUAAAGGCCUACCAAGGCGACGAUCAGUAGCGGGUCUGAGAGGAUGAUCCGCCACACUGGGACUGAGACACGGCCCAGACUCCUACGGGAGGCAGCAGUGGGGAAUUUUGGACAAUGGGCGCAAGCCUGAUCCAGCCAUGCCGCGUGCGGGAAGAAGGCCUUCGGGUUGUAAACCGCUUUCGGACGGAAAGAAAUCGUUCAGGUUAAUACCCUGGAUGGAUGACGGUACCGUAAGAAGAAGCACCGGCUAACUACGUGCCAGCAGCCGCGGUAAUACGUAGGGUGCGAGCGUUAAUCGGAAUUACUGGGCGUAAAGCGUGCGCAGGCGGUUUCUUAAGCCAGACGUGAAAUCCCCGAGCUUAACUUGGGAACUGCGUUUGGAACUGGGAGACUAGAGUGUGUCAGAGGGGGGGUGGAAUUCCACGUGUAGCAGUGAAAUGCGUAGAGAUGUGGAGGAACACCGAUGGCGAAGGCAGCCCCCUGGGAUAACACUGACGCUCAUGCACG